CAAAGGGAGGGCGGGCGCUUUUGCCCUUCCUGUCUCCCUGCUGACUGGAAAGCUGAUAUGAGGCUGGCGCCCCAAUUAGCGAUGCUGGACCUUGAAGACACAGCUGAGGGUUGAGAUCCCUUACUCUGGGGGAAGCAAGCCUUGUGAGCAGCCUUAUGGAGAGGCCCACAUGGUUAGGAAAUGAAGUUUCCAGCCAACAGCCAACAAGAAACUGAGGCCUGUCAACAGCCAUGUGUGUGUCCUUGAAAUGGAUCCUGAGCCUUCAGUGACUACAGCCCUGGCUGACAGCUUGACUGUAACUUCAUGAGCGACUCUGAGCCAGAACCCUCAACAUCAGUGUGCCCAGAAUAAAAACCAACCAACGAACCAACCAACCAAACAGAAGUUACCCAAGAAGAAAAGUGGGACUCAAUCUACAGAAUCAGAGCACCUUGGGUCUUGGCUGCUGAAACACAAAACAAAUUUCCAGUGGAAAGGAAGCCAUAACCUAGAUUGUGAGACGGAUUUUGGUGUCAACCCUGAAUAAAAUCUUGGCUUUACUACAUUUUAGUUUUGUGACCAUAGCAUUGUGUUUGCAAGUUCAUCCAUGUUGUGGCACAAAUCUCUGGCUUAUUAAUUUCUACUGCUGUAUAGUCUCCCAUUGUAUGAAUUCACCACAAUGUAUCAAUCCAUUGUACUAAGGAUGGACAUUUGAAUUGCUUCUGAUUUGGAGCCAUUAUGGACAACAGUGCUGUGAACAUUCAUAUACAUGCAGUCUGGGGUACACAGGUACACAUUUCUCCAGGAUACAUAUCUAAGGAGCAGAAUUGCUGGUCAUAGGGUAUGCAUGCCUCAAAUUGUUUUUCAAUGUGCUUAUAGUAGCUCUUUUCCUCCCUAAACCAAACCUGAUGCAUAAGGAAAUAAAGUAGAUGACAGCACAGCUCUGAUCGAAGCAGGGAGCAGUCCCAGGGCUAGCUUCCUCUGUAUGGUGCUCUUGUUGGUGCUUUCUUGUGGGUCUAACACACCCUGUUCUCCAACAUUCUAUUUGCUUCUAUAUUCCCUCUGUUGCUUUAAAAGACAAGGGAUUCCAGUGAUUUCCCAUUCCAAGGGCAAGGAGAGAUUCUGGCCUUCUGAACCCACAAAUAGCAUUUCUACUAAGGAUUAUUUUAAUUUAGAAUCCCAAGAUUCUACUUUUAAAAUAGGUAUUUCCUUAGACCCUCCCUAAAGAAAUUCCUAUUGAAUAAAUAAAAUUUUUAAAAAUGCAUAAGAUACUCCUCCUGGGCCUAUCUGUCUUUAUUAUGUUCCUGAAUUAGCUUGACUUGGGUCUUGGCUGGAAGUAGAAAAAUUAUAUCCAACAGUUAUGUAAGAGAAUAGCUGAAAGCAAUUGGAUUAAAAUAUUUGAGCAGGUUAAGCCCAGAGAGGAUAUAUCAAAAUGUUGAGUACCGCUGGGGGUGUAAGGAGGAUAUCUGUACAGCAUCUGAUGUACUUGGAUGUUGACUCUCUCAUGGUCAGGAAUCCAUGGUGGUGGUUUAAGGUUUAAAGGGAAUUCAUGUUGUUAGGAGUUAUUAUCCCCAUCAAAAUGGCAAAACAUCGAAAUGGAGACUUUUCUCGAUGCUGUCUUUUGCCAAAACCGUAAUAGUAAAGCAGGAUUGAGGCUGGAACAGUCUGGGCAGUAGACAGGCCAAUGCAUGUAAUGCAUAUGAUUAAAAAUAGUUAGCACAAAGAAAUGGUUGUUAUUGUGCUUUGUCCAAGUUGGACUUAGUAACUAAUUAAGUAUAAGCUCCUUCUUCUUCUUCUUUUUUUUCCCCAUGGCCAUAUGCAGUUUUUGAAUUCUUAAAACACAAACUUUUUAGAAGAAGAAGUUAAAUACAGAAUGCAUUGAGUUUGGUAGAGAAAGUUUAAAGGUCUGCGUUUUCCCACCAAAGCUAUUUAAUAUCAGCUGCAGAGUGGGUGUGUGUGUGUGUGGAAAGGUUGUGACCUCCCUUAUUUUUACAACCAUUGCCAUGAUUUCAUAAUACUGGCAGCAGUCACCCAGAGUGAAAUAGACUUUAUUACAGUAAUUAUAUGCCAGAAUGUGGGUAUUAAAACAGAAAAACUUUUCUACUGAUAAUAAAUGUCAAGGGAAAAAUGACUUUACCCAACAACUAGCCCUUCAUCAGUGUUUUUAAUGUAUUAAUGGCCUCAGUGAAGAUGGAGACGUGUCCACAGGGAUAGAAGUUCAGACUCCAUAUAGCUUUUUUGCCUUAUUUGCAGAAUGUUAAGUAGGGCAGUUGAAAGAUAGAGGCAUGUUUUAGCAAGUUAGGUUUAUUUUUCUCCAUGGCAUAAAGUCAUAUAUUUUCACUUGAGCAGAUAUAGCUAUUGUUUUGGCAGAUUGAUUAAUUAUGGCCGUAACUGAAUUAGUCUAUUGUUUCUAGAUCACUUCAUUGAUUUUCCCUGUUUUGGUGGGUUUUUGAGAACUGGGAGAAGUAAUGCAGCAUGAGAAUUUUAUCUUGAAAUAUGGUAGUUUUCUGAAUAUUAAAAAGAAAAAGCUCAAAUAAGGACAAUGAAAGAUUUGAAUAAGUAUCAGAAGGUAUAACUUUUUGAAAAUGACCAUAUCUAAAUUAUAGGCUUGUGGCUGCUAAAUUAUACUCAUCUAGCAUUAAGUGUGGGGUUUAUCAGUACGUCUCUGAAAUAAUAAACAUGGUCUAAAUGUGGAAAGUAUACCUCAGGAAAACAUUUAAUCCACUUCGCAAUUAAAUUUAGUGAAAGGUUGAUUAAUUCCAAGAAAUACUAAAAUUAUAGUACUUCUUAUCUUUGAUUUCAAGGGACUUUGAAGUGGGCAGCUGGACUUUUCUCCAAAGUGCCCUAUUAGCUGGCAUAGAGAAAGAAUAUAUGCAGAAAACCAGUAGCAAAACUCAGAGCAAAAUAUGGGCUCCCAGCCUCCAUUAUGUAAGAGUCUAAAGGUCAUACUUUUCUUGGAUUUUUACACACUGUUGGAAGGUGACCUCCACUUUUCUCCAUUAGUGUUUAUUCCUGCAUACAGUUGGUGCUUAACAGAUUCAAGGGGCUGAUGAAGAUGAUUUUCAUUUGGCGCCUGCUCUAGACUUCUGCUUGGCCACAUGGAAGGAUCUGGGUUCAGAAUCUCCUGGAGUGAGUUGACUGUUGAUGGUGACCUGGGGCAGCAUCUCAGAGGAGCCAUAGGCCUGCCGGCAGUCAUCAAUCACUGACUCACAACAGCCUUAGGUGCUUGCUACUCCCACGCAGUCUCAUUGCUCAAAAUCGAGACCAGUCCUCCGAACAGGACACUGAUUCCUCUUAUGUGUUUUCUCUGUUUUCUGCAGCGGGUUUGUCUUUAACAAUGAGCCAUUCAUGGGCACCCAGGGAGCUACCCAGGACCAGGGAGACGGCUGCAGGCCCCUGCAGGCAGCUGGCCAUGUUCCAGUCCAGAUAUUCUUGGGAAUGUGGAAUUAUUUGAAUCAAAGGGAAAUAAAUCUUUUGCAAAUGUUAAUACAAAUGACUGUGGGAAGGGCUUGCUGCUAAAAGAGAAGCUGAGAAUUCUUGGUGCCUACUGAGUUAUUUUUUGGCAGGCAAUACUACUAGGUUGCUAUGGGAAUGAUGA